GAGACAAAAUUGACUUUUGUGAGACAAAAUUGACUUUUGUGAGACAAAAUUGACAAAAUUGAAUUUUGUCUUACAAAAUUGAAUUUCGUUUCACAAAAGUC
rnacentral:sRNA from 1 species